rnacentral:lncRNA from 1 species
GGCAUUCUAGAAUGCAAGGGAGCAGGGAUGGAAGUGAAGAUCUUGACUUGGUCCACAGUCAUCUAAUCAGCCAGCCAUGGACUAAAACUUCCGAGAUCAUCAACCAAAACAAACACUUCUUAAGGGAAGAACGGCUUCAUAGGAAACAAGCUCUGCCAAGACUUUGUUUAUCCAGAAGAAUAAGAAAAUGAAUUUCUGUUAUUUAAGCUGCCCAGGUUUAAACACUACAACAAAGGCUUAAAUAAACCCAAACCAACAAAACC